rnacentral:rRNA from 1 species
UACGAAGGGGGCUAGCGUUGUUCGGAAUUACUGGGCGUAAAGCGCACGUAGGCGGAUUAGCAAGUCAGGGGUGAAAUCCCGGGGCUCAACCUCGGAACUGCCUCUGAUACUGCCAGUCUAGAGUCCGGAAGAGGUGGGUGGAAUUCCUAGUGUAGAGGUGAAAUUCGCAGAUAUUAGGAAGAACACCGGUGGCGAAGGCGGCCCACUGGUCCGGUACUGACGCUGAGGUGCGAAAGCUGGGGGAGCGAACGGG